rnacentral:rRNA from 1 species
GAUGAACGCUGGCGGCGUGCCUAAUACAUGCAAGUCGAGCGAACGGACGAGAAGCUUGCUUCUCUGAUGUUAGCGGCGGACGGGUGAGUAACACGUGGAUAACCUACCUAUAAGACUGGGAUAACUUCGGGAAACCGGAGCUAAUACCGGGUAAUAUUUUGAACCGCAUGGUUCAAAAGUGAAAGACGGUCUUGCUGUCACUUAUAGAUGGAUCCGCGCUGCAUUAGCUAGUUGGUAAGGUAACGGCUUACCAAGGCAACGAUGCAUAGCCGACCUGAGAGGGUGAUCGGCCACACUGGAACUGAGACACGGCCCAGACUCCUACGGGAGGCAGCAGUAGGGAAUCUUCCGCAAUGGGCGAAAGCCUGACGGAGCAACGCCGCGUGAGUGAUGAAGGUCUUCGUAUCGUAAAACUCUGUUAUUAGGGAAGAACAUAUGUGUAAGUAACUGUGCACAUCUUGACGGUACCUAAUCAGAAAGCCACGGCUAACUACGUG